UACGAACCGUGCGAACGUUGUUCGGAAUCACUGGGUUUAAAGGGCGCGUAGGCGGGCUGUCAAGUCGGUGGUGAAAUCGUUCCGCUCAACGGGACAAUGGCCUUCGAUACUGGCGGCCUGGAGGGAGGUAGGGGCAUGCGGAACUUCCGGUGGAGCGGUGAAAUGCGUAGAUAUCGUCUGGAACGCCGAAGGUGAAAACAGCUCGCUGGGGCUGCGCUGACGCUGAGACACGAAAGCCAGGGGAGCGAACGGG
rnacentral:rRNA from 1 species